GUUUUUUCUGUGUUGGAUAAUUUUGAAGUAGGAGCUGCUUUUGGACUGUGAUUACUCUCUUCUCUAACUCUGGUUUUUCAGGUUAAAGAAGUGAUUAUAAUCAAGAGUCCUGUCAUUUCAAGUCUGGAUUAUGACCCUUUCACUGGGCUUCACACUGCUGGCACCAGCCUCAGUCAAUCCACAUCCCCCACCUCUGGUUCAUGAUGUCACUACAGUCCCCCACCUCUGGUUCAUGAUGUCACUACAGUCCCCCACCUCUGGUUCAUGAUGUCACUACAUCCCCCACCUCUGGUUCAUGAUGUCACUACAGUCCCCCACCUCUGGUUCAUGAUGUCACUACAGUCCCCCACCUCUGGUUCAUGAUGUCACUACAGUCCCCCACCUCUGGUUCAUGAUGUCACUACUGUCCCCUAGCUCUGGUUCAUGAUGUCACUACUGUCCCCUAGCUCUGGUCCAUGAUGUCACUACAGUCCCCUAGCUCUGGUCCAUGCUGUCACUACUGUCCCCUAGAUCUGGUCCAUGAUGUCACUACAGUCCCCUAGCUCUGGUCCAUGAUGUCACUCCUGUCCCCUAGCUCUGGUCCAUGAUGUCACUCCUGUCCCCUAGCUCUGGUUCAUGAUGUCACUACUGUCCCCUAGCUCUGGUUCAUGCUGUCACUACUGUCCCCUAGAUCUGGUCCAUGAUGUCACUACAGUCCCCUAAAUCUGCUCCAUGAUGUCACUACAGUCCCCUAGCUCUGGUCCAUGAUGUCACUCCUGUCCCACUGGCUCUGGUCCAUGAUGUCACUACUGUCCCCUAGCUCUGGUUCAUGAUGUCACUACUGUCCCCUAGCUCUGGUUCAUGCUGUCACUACUGUCCCCUAGAUCUGGUCCAUGAUGUCACUACAGUCCCCUAGCUCUGGUCCAUGAUGUCACUACAGUCCCCUAGCUCUGGUCCCUGGUGUCACAAAAUCCACUUGGUCUGAUCCCUGGUGUCACUACACCACCCAGCUGUCACCACAUCCCUGAUUAAUGGGAUGUUCUAGAAACUAAGUUAUAAAGCCCAAUGGGUCCAGAGACAGUACAAUGUAGCAGCAACCGUGAGCCAAAUAGCCUGUUGGCAAAUGUUUUCGCAGGUUGUGUGCAUCACGGAUUAAAUAAGCUUCAUGACUGGAUAGAUCGGUUUAACUGAUGGGUUUAACUUUUAAAUAUCAUAAUUGUAAAGGUUGUGUUAACUGUAGCCUGUCAUUUGUAUGUACUAUUUUAACCACUCAUUGGUAUUCACAAUAAACUAAGCC
ensembl:lncRNA